CCAAUAGCGUAUAUUAAAGUUGCUGCAGUUAAAAAAGCUCGUAGUUGAAUUUCGGGACCAAUAUGUCGGUCGUGCCUCGGUACGUACUGGCAUUAUUGGUUUCUCCCUUCUGAAGAACCUUGAUGUCAUUAAUUUGGUGUCUUGGGGAAUCAGGACUGUUACUUUGAAAAAAUUAGAGUGUUUAAAGCAGGCUCGCGCUUGAAUACAUUAGCAUGGAAUACUGAAAUAGGACGUUUGAUUCUAUUUUGUUGGUUUCUAGGAUCGACGUAAUGAUUAAUAGGGAUAGUUGGGGGCAUUAGUAUUUAAUUGUCAGAGGUGAAAUUCUUGGAUUUAUUGAAGACUAACUACUGCGAAAGCAUUUGCCAAGGAUGUUUUCAUUAAUCAAGAACGAAAGUUAGGGGAUCGAAGACGAUCAGAUACCGUCGUAGUCUUAACCAUAAACUAUGCCGACUAGGGAUCGGAUGAUGUUAAUCUUUUAAUGACUCAUUCGGCGCCUUACG
rnacentral:rRNA from 1 species